GGAGUCGGCCGGGUAAUCGCUGCUUCAGCUUGCUGAAGGGGAGGAAAGUCCGGGCUCCAUAGGGCAGGGUGCCAGAUAACGUCUGGGCGGCGUGAGCCGACGACAAGUGCAGCAGAGAGUAGACCGCCUAAGCGCGCAAGCGCCGGUAAGGGUGAAAGGGUGCGGUAAGAGCGCACCGCGCAGCUGGUAACAGUUUGUGGCACGGUAAACUCCACCCGGAGCAAGACCAAAUAGGCUCCCAUUACGUACGGCCCGUACGGGGAGCGGGUAGGUUGCUUGAGCCAGCGAGUAAUUUCUGGCCUAGAUGAAUGAUUACCCUCGACAGAACCCGGCUUACAGGCCGACUCCGACC
rnacentral:RNase_P_RNA from 1 species